rnacentral:misc_RNA from 1 species
AACAAGGCGUACCUGCGGACCUGCGGAGGGAUCAUUACAGAGUUGCAAAACUCCCUAAACCAUUGUGAACGUUACCUAAACCGUUGCUUCGGCGGGCGGCCCGGGUCCUUCCCGGCGCCCCUCGGCCCUCGCGGGCGCCCGCCGGAGGUAAACCAAACUAUUGCAUUGUAUGGCCUCUCUGAGUCUUCUGUACUGAAUAAGUCAAAACUUUCAGCAACGGAUCUCAGAUCGGAAGAGCAC